rnacentral:rRNA from 1 species
AGGGCACCACCAGGAGUGGAGCCUGCGGCUUAAUUUGACUCAACACGGGAAAACUCACCCGGCCCGGACACCGUAAGGAUUGACAGAUUGAGAGCUCUUUCUUGAUUCGGUGGGUGGUGGUGCAUGGCCGUUCUUAGUUGGUGGAGCGAUUUGUCUGGUUAAUUCCGAUAACGAACGAGACUCUAGCCUGCUAAAUAGGCAGUGGAUUAUUCGUCCACUGUACUUCUUAGAGGGACAAGCAGCGUCUAGCUGCACGAGAUUGAGCAAUAACAGGUCUGCGAUGCCCUUAGAUGUUCGGGGCUGCACGCGCGCUACACUGAAGGAAUCAACAUGCUUCUCAACCUUGGCCGGAAGGUCUAGGUAACCCGUUGAAACUCCUUCGUGAUUGGGAUAGGGAAUUGCAAUUAUUUCCCUUGAACGAGGAAUUCCCAGUAAGUGCGGGUCAUCAGCUCGCGCUGAUUACGUCCCUGCCCUUUGUACACACCGCCCGUCGCUACUACCGAUUGGAGGUAGAGCAGA